UACGUAGGGGGCAAGCGUUGUCCGGAAUCAUUGGGCGUAAAGCGCGUGUAGGCGGCUCGGUAAGUCCGCUCUGAAAGUCCAGGCUCAACCUGGGAUGCGGGUGGAUACUGCCGAGCUCGAGUCCGGAAGAGGCGAGUGGAAUUCCUGGUGUAGCGGUGAAAUGCGCAGAUAUCGAGGAGGAACACCAAUUGCGAAGGCAGCUCGCUGGGACGU
rnacentral:rRNA from 1 species